rnacentral:rRNA from 1 species
UGGCGACCGGCGCACGGGUGAGUAACGCGUAUCCAACCUGCCCUUUACUAUGGGACAGCCCGUCGAAAGGCGGAUUAAUACCGUAUGUUGUCAUGUUGAUGCAUAUUUUCAUGACCAAAGGCUUCGGCCGGUAAAGGAUGGGGAUGCGUCUGAUUAGCUUGCCGCGGGGUAACGGCCCACCGGGGCGACGAUCAGUAGGGGUUCUGAGAGGAAGGUCCCCCACAUUGGAACUGAGACACGGUCCAAACUCCUACGGAAGGCAGCAG